rnacentral:rRNA from 1 species
GAUGAACGCUGGCGGCGUGCCUAAUACAUGCAAGUCGAACGCACAGCGAAAGGUGCUUGCACCUUUCAAGUGAGUGGCGAACGGGUGAGUAACACGUGGAUAACCUACCUCAAGGUUGGGGAUAACAUUUGGAAACAGAUGCUAAUACCGAAUAAAACUUAGUAUCGCAUGAUGCCAGGUUAAAAGGCGCUACGGCGUCACCUAGAGAUGGAUCCGCGGUGCAUUAGUUAGUUGGUGGGUAAAGGCUUACCAAGACAAUGAUGCAUAGCCGAGUUGAGAGACUGAUCGGCCACAUUGGGACUGAGACACGGCCCAAACUCCUACGGGAGGCUGCAGUAGGGAAUCGUUCCACAAUGGGCGAAAGCCUGAUGGAGCAACGCCGCGUGUGUGGAUGAAGGCUUUCGGGUCGU